UACGGAGGGGGCUAGCGUUGUUCGGAAUUACUGGGCGUAAAGCGCGCGUAGGCGGCUUUGUAAGUUAGAGGUGAAAGCCCAGGGCUUAACCCUGGAAUUGCCUUUAAGACUGCAUCGCUAGACUCGUGGAGAGGUGAGUGGAAUUCCGAGUGUAGAGGUGAAAUUCGUAGAUAUUCGGAAGAACACCAGUGGCGAAGGCGGGUCUCUGGGCCAUUACUGACGCUGAGGAGCGAAAGCGUGGGGAGCGAACAGG
rnacentral:rRNA from 1 species